GCGCCGGUGGUGUAAUGGCGUAGAGCAUUCNUGUAAUGGCGUAGAGCAUUCCCGCCCGGUCAGAAGGAGGUGCGGGUUCGAGUCCCGCCUGGCGCU
rnacentral:tRNA from 1 species